rnacentral:rRNA from 1 species
CAGCCGUAAACUAUGCGCGUUAGGUGUAUCGGUGACCACGAGUCACCGAGGUGCCGAAGGGAAACCGUGAAACGUGCCGCCUGGGAAGUACGGUCGCAAGGCUGAAACUUAAAGGAAUUGGCGGGGGAGCACAACAACGGGUGGAGCCUGCGGUUUAAUUGGACUCAACGCCGGACAACUCACCGGGGACGACAGCAAUAUGUAGGCCAGGCUGAAGACCUUGCCUGAAUCGCUGAGAGGAGGUGCAUGGCGUAGACGUCCU